AAGACAUGUGUUCUGUCAUCGCCUCAUAAUGCUGCUUUGAUCUUGAAAACUUAUGCGUAUUCAGAAGAUAAUGCUGUAAGAUAAUGUAAAACAUCUUGAUUAAGUGCCAGAGGAAUGUGGAGGUUUUAUGUGAUAAAAGUGCGAAAAGAAUUUAGUAUAACUUAUAUUUAAUUGAGUGCUAGAAUCCAUUAAAAAGUGAGAAAAACACUGAAGUUUAAUUUCUGCUCUAUUAACUGUAAAUUAAAUGCCUCUGAUUAUGUCAUUAUUUUAAUUAAUCAAUUAUCAUAAUCGUAUUUUACUCUUUCUAUAUACGAGUAUAGAGAUUAAAUUUAAUGAGAUUUUAAUGAACGCUGAGAAACGACACAAAUUUCUGAUGAGCAAAUUGGAAUUCAUAUCACUUUUAACUAGUUUAGUCGGCUACUCAAAUUCGAGUUUAAGCUAUGGACGAAUAAAUUUCGCACCCAGAUACUAAUAUUCAUAAGAAAUAAACAAUAAGUUAUAUAUACUACGGCUGCACAGAGUAUUUAUAAGUCGAUCUCAAUUUUAGAAGGCAGUAAACAGUCGAACAAUAACAAAAAUAAAAUCAAGGUGUACAUUAAAGCACUUAAUUCUAGGGGAACGGCGUGCGUGCCGCUUGAAUAAAUUAAUGAAACGACUUUGUUCGAGUAGCAGGUGACUGAGCAGAGGUUUUUGGAUAUACAGUUAUGUAGAGUGUACAAUUGUAUAGCAAGCUUGUGGUUACAGUUAUGAUCUGCAUGUGGGUAAUUAAAAUGUGUCUGGAGUGUCAAGCUUAUCAGCUGGAUAAAUGCACAAUGUUGGAAUGUUGGCAGUGGAAAGACAACUCAUACCAAAUAUGACUUGAAGCAACUAGAAUCAAUUUGGCAAUAUUUGCUCCACACAUUUUAGAUAAGGCCAAUAUCUAUGUCUUAUAUGCGAUAAUUGAUAGCAGACGUGCUACAAUUGGCAAAUGCAAUGGCAACUUGUGCAGCGCAGAAAGAACCAAACAAAGACGGAAAAAGAAGAGAGCUGAUUAUUUGCCUAUCGAUGUUAUCAAAGCACACUCUGUUAUCGAUGUGAUCUAACGAUUGCUCUCUUUCAAUUGCGCUCACCUUUCAUAUGCAUGAAUAUCAUCUUCUGGCGCUCCGUUAUCGAUUUGCUAAGCAGAGGUUCUCGCUUAUCCUUCGGUAUGUUCAUAUCCUCGAGUAUUUCCAGAAAUUUUGCAUUCACCUGAGCUUCGCUUAGCUCGUGGAUUGUACGCUCCAAUUCAUCAACACUGAAGCCGCCAUCGUUGUCCGUGGAGGCGGGUCGAUGACCGCCAUGGGGCAGACUGUUGCUGUUGUAAUUGCCGCUGCCCUUCGAUUUGGAGGGUCGACCGAACCAACUUUCCAACAGGCCUCCGCCCGUUGACUUUGAUUUCUCGUGCCUUGACAUUCUAUAAGAAUAAAUAAUACAUUCAAUUAGUCGAAAUCGAAAGCAAAUUCAAUUAGUAGGAAACGAAUUCAAACCCAAACUUUUUAAGGCGCAUUUUUCUUUGACUACCAAAUGCACAAUAGGCGAGUCAAUGAGUAACUGUCUGUGUGUAAGAGUGUUUGUGUGUUUUGGACAUGCGCAGCUUUUGACUACUGCACAGCUGUUCAUUGUUUACACUGCAAUCGUUUUGAACCGCACGUCUCGAGUGGUAGCACGGCACUAAUUGAGAGCAACAACAUACCAGCAAAUGAUCUGCCUCAUUAUCAGCGAUGCUGCUACAACUGCUGCUUCUGAUUGCUUUUUUGUAGUAUAAGAAAAUAAUAAAGGAU